rnacentral:rRNA from 1 species
GACGAACGCUGGCGGCGUGCUUAACACAUGCAAGUCGAACGGAAAGGCCUCUUUCGGGGGGUACUCGAGUGGCGAACGGGUGAGUAACACGUGAGUAACCUGCCCUUGACUUUGGGAUAACUUCAGGAAACUGGGGCUAAUACCGGAUAGGAGCUCCUGCUGCAUGGUGGGGGUUGGAAAGUUUCGGCGGUUGGGGAUGGACUCGCGGCUUAUCAGCUUGUUGGUGGGGUAGUGGCUUACCAAGGCUUUGACGGGUAGCCGGCCUGAGAGGGUGACCGGCCACAGUGGGACUGAGAUACGGCCCAGACUCCUACGGGAGGAAGCAGUGGGGAAUAUUGCACAAUGGGUGGAAGCCUGAUGCAGCAACGCCGUGUGCGGGAUGACGGCCUUCGGGUUGUAAACCGCUUUCGCUCAUGACGAAGCUUUGUGUGACGGUAGUGGGUAAAGAAGCACCGGCUAACUACGUG